UGGCAACCAAGGACAGCCAAUAACAGCCAACGUGUACUCCCAACAUGCUGCUUUCCAGCCUUGCAUCCUACACCUAUGGACUCAAUAAGCAUAAGUCUUUCCUCAGUUCUUCUGCCUUGUCUUCAAACUUGGAUACUCUGUCUUCUCCUUGAGGAAGAGUGAAGAGACAUCCUACAGAAUGCUAGAAAAUCUUUGUCAGCUAGAUAUCUAACUGAGAAUAAAUAACAAGACUAUACAAA